UACGUAGGGUGCGAGCGUUAAUCGGAAUUACUGGGCGUAAAGCGUGCGCAGGCGGUUUUGUAAGCCAGAUGUGAAAUCCCCGGGCUUAACCUGGGAAUGGCAUUUGGGACUGCAAGGCUUGAGUGCGGCAGAGGAGACUGGAAUUCCUGGUGUAGCAGUGAAAUGCGUAGAUAUCGGGAGGAACACCGGUGGCGAAGGCGGGUCUCUGGGCCGUGACUGACGCUGAGGAGCGAAAGCGUGGGGAGCGAACAGG
rnacentral:rRNA from 1 species